rnacentral:rRNA from 1 species
GACGAACGCUGGCGGCGUGCUUAACACAUGCAAGUCGAACGGAAAGGCCCUGCUUUUGUGGGGUGCUCGAGUGGCGAACGGGUGAGUAACACGUGAGUAACCUGCCCUUGACUUUGGGAUAACUUCAGGAAACUGGGGCUAAUACCGGAUAGGAGCUCCUGCUGCAUGGUGGGGGUUGGAAAGUUUCGGCGGUUGGGGAUGGACUCGCGGCUUAUCAGCUUGUUGGUGGGGUAGUGGCUUACCAAGGCUUUGACGGGUAGCCGGCCUGAGAGGGUGACCGGCCACAUUGGGACUGAGAUACGGCCCAGACUCCUACGGGAGGCAGCAGUGGGGAAUAUUGCACAAUGGGCGGAAGCCUGAUGCAGCAACGCCGCGUGCGGGAUGACGGCCUUCGGGUUGUAAACCGCUUUCGCCUGUGACGAAGCGUGAGUGACGGUAAUGGGUAAAGAAGCACCGGCUAACUACGUGCCAGCAGCCGCGGUGAUACGUAGGGUGCGAGCGUUGUCCGGAUUUAUUGGGCGUAAAGGGCUCGUAGGUGGUUGAUCGCGUCGGAAGUGUAAUCUUGGGGCUUAACCCUGAGCGUGCUUUCGAUACGGGUUGACUUGAGGAAGGUAGGGGAGAAUGGAAUUCCUGGUGGAGCGGUGGAAUGCGCAGAUAUCAGGAGGAACACCAGUGGCGAAGGCGGUUCUCUGGGCCUUUCCUGACGCUGAGGAGCGAAAGCGUGGGGAGCGAACAGGCUUAGAUACCCUGGUAGUCCACGCUGUAAACGGUGGGUACUAGGUGUGGGGUCCAUUCCACGGGUUCCGUGCCGUAGCUAACGCUUUAAGUACCCCGCCUGGGGAGUACGGCCGCAAGGCUAAAACUCAAAGGAAUUGACGGGGCCCCGCACAAGCGGCGGAGCAUGCGGAUUAAUUCGAUGCAACGCGUAGAACCUUACCUGGGUUUGACAUGGAUCGGGAGCGCUCAGAGAUGGGUGUGCCUCUUUUGGGGUCGGUUCACAGGUGGUGCAUGGCUGUCGUCAGCUCGUGUCGUGAGAUGUUGGGUUAAGUCCCGCAGCGAGCGCAACCCUUGUUCACUGUUGCCAGCACGUUAUGGUGGGGACUCAGUGGAGACCGCCGGGGUCAACUCGGAGGAAGGUGGGGAUGACGUCAAGUCAUCAUGCCCCUUAUGUCCAGGGCUUCACGCAUGCUACAAUGGCUGGUACAGAGAGUGGCGAGCCUGUGAGGGUGAGCGAAUCUCGGAAAGCCGGUCUCAGUUCGGAUUGGGGUCUGCAACUCGACCUCAUGAAGUCGGAGUCGCUAGUAAUCGCAGAUCAGCAACGCUGCGGUGAAUACGUUCCCGGG